UACGUAGGGAGCAAGCGUUGUCCGGAUUCACUGGGUGUAAAGGGUGCGCAGGCGGGAGAGUAAGUCAGAGGUGAAAUCUCACAGCUUAACUGUGAAACUGCCUUUGAUACUGCUUUUUCUUGAGUUCGGGAGAGGUUGAUGGAAUUCCAGGUGUAGCGGUGAAAUGCGUAGAUAUCUGGAAGAACACCAGUGGCGAAGGCGGUCAACUGGCCCGUAACUGACGCUCAGGCACGAAAGCGUGGGUAGCGAACAGG
rnacentral:rRNA from 1 species